AGUGUCAGGGGGAGGUGGAGAUUUAUUUCAGGCAGGACUGGAGGAAAGUUCUCCUGGACUCGUGGAGUCUGUCUGAGGCGUCUGUGCUCUGCAGACAGCUGGGCUGUGGCUCUGUGCUGAACUACCGUUCAUCUCCAUCCACCACUGAACACAAACACGUGUGUAACGGCUUUCAGCUGCUCUGGGAGUGAAGCUCAUCUGGGGAACUGCAGCAGUGCACAAGCUGUCAACUGCACCUCUGGAGAACAUCUGUACAUCACCUGCUCAGGCCCCAGCUCUAUCAGACUGGUAGGUUCUGGAGGAGACUGUGCAGGAAGGCUGGAGGUUUUCCACAGUGGUUCAUGGGGAACAGUGUGUGAUGACUCUUGGGGUAUUGAGGAUGCAGAUGUGGUGUGCAAACAGCUGCAGUGUGGACGGGCCCUCAGUACCCACACACCAGCCUGGUUUGGUCCUGGAACUGGGUCCAUAUGGCUGAAUGAGGUGGAGUGUGAGGGGAAUGAGACGUCCCUGUGGAACUGCAGAUUUCAGCUAUGUGAAGAGGGUGAAUGUGGACACCAGGAGGACGUAGGAGUCGUGUGCUCAGAGUUUAAAGAGAUCCGACUCACGGAGGGCUGUAAGGGGAAUCUGGAAGUGUUCUACAAUGGAACCUGGGGUAAUGUGUGUCACAAUCAGAUGGAUAAUGAAACAGUA